AUAUUGUCUUUUCUUUGUUACAACUAUUACAAAUACUCAUUAAAAACUAUUACGUAAGAUUUUAUCGAGCAAUGGUUAUUUAAUCAUUGACUUAAAAUCAAAAUGCCAUGGCCUUUGAUUUUAGGCAAUGACUACAAAAGUAGCGGGCAAAAAACUAUUGAUAAAUUCAUUAGAUAAUGAUUUUGGAUCUUCAUAUUGCAUUUUUGACUGCACC
rnacentral:lncRNA from 1 species